CGUUAAUUGAUCAGGACGUGCUUGCACUGAAUGAGAUUUUAACACGAAGUGAGUGGCGGACGGGUGAGUAACACGUGGGUAACCUGCCCAGAAGCAGGGGAUAACACCUGGAAACAGAUGCUAAUACCGUAUAACAGAGAAAACCGCCUGGUUUUCUUUUAAAAGAUGGCUCUGCUAUCACUUCUGGAUGGACCCGCGGCGCAUUAGCUAGUUGGUGAGGUAACGGCUCACCAAGGCGAUGAUGCGUAGCCGACCUGAGAGGGUAAUCGGCCACAUUGGGACUGAGACACGGCCCAGACUCCUACGGGAGGCAGCAGUAGGGAAUCUUCCACAAUGGACGCAAGUCUGAUGGAGCAACGCCGCGUGAGUGAAGAAGGGUUUCGGCUCGUAAAGCUCUGUUGUUAAAGAAGAACGUGGGUGAGAGUAACUGUUCACCCAGUGACGGUAUUUAACCAGAAAGCCACGGCUAACUACGUGCCAGCAGCCGCGGUAAUACGUAGGUGGCAAGCGUUAUCCGGAUUUAUUGGGCGUAAAGCGAGCGCAGGCGGUCUUUUAAGUCUAAUGUGAAAGCCUUCGGCUCAACCGAAGAAGUGCAUUGGAAACUGGGAGACUUGAGUGCAGAAGAGGACAGUGGAACUCCAUGUGUAGCGGUGAAAUGCGUAGAUAUAUGGAAGAACACCAGUGGCGAAGGCGGCUGUCUGGUCUGUAA
rnacentral:rRNA from 1 species